UACGAACCGUACGAACGUUAUUCGGAAUCACUGGGCUUAAAGGGUGCGUAGGCGGCGCUGAAAGUAGGGUGUGAAAUCCCUCGGCUCAACCGAGGAACUGCGCUCUAAACUACAGUGCUUGAGGGAGACAGAGGUGAGCGGAACUUAGGGUGGAGCGGUGAAAUGCGUUGAUAUCCUAAGGAACACCCGUGGCGAAAGCGGCUCACUGGGUCUCUUCUGGCGCUGAGGCACGAAAGCCAGGGUAGCGAACGGG
rnacentral:rRNA from 1 species